rnacentral:rRNA from 1 species
AUUGAACGCUGGCGGCAUGCCUAACACAUGCAAGUCGAACGAGCGGCGGACGGGUGAGUAAUGUAUGGGGACUGCCCGAUAGCGGGGGAUAACUACUGGAAACGGUGGCUAAUACCGCAUACUAUCGGAUAACCCAUAUGGGAUUAGCUAGUAGGUGGGGUAAAGGCUCACCUAGGCGACGAUCCCUAGCUGGUCUGAGAGGAUGAUCAGCCACACUGGGACUGAGACACGGCCCAGACUCCUACGGAGGCAGCAGUGGGGAAUAUUGGACAAUGGGGGAAAGCCUGAUGCAGCCAUGCCGCGUGUAUGAAGAAGGCCUUAGGGUUGUAAAGUACUUUCAGCGGGGAGGCGGUACCUGCAGAAGAAGCACCGGCUAACUCCGUGCCAGCAGCCGCGGUAAUUC